rnacentral:rRNA from 1 species
GCGCGAAACCUCCGCAAUGCACGCAAGUGCGACGGGGGGACCCCAAGUGCCACUCUUAACGGGGUGGCUUUUCAGGAGUGUAAAAAGCUCCUGGAAUAAGGGCUGGGCAAGACCGGUGCCAGCCGCCGCGGUAACACCGGCAGCUCGAGUGGUAGCCGCGUUUAUUGGGCCUAAAGCGUCCGUAGCCGGUCCGAUAAGUCUCUGGUGAAAGCCCACAGCUCAACUGUGGGAAUCGCUGGAGAUACUAUCGGACUUGAGGCCGGGAGGGGCUGGAGGUACUCCCAGGGUAGGGGUGAAAUCCUAUAAUCCUGGGAGGACCACCUGUGGCGAAGGCGUCCAGCUGGAACGGACCUGACGGUGGGGGACGAAAGCCAGGGGCGCGAACCGGAUUAGAUACCCGGGUAGUCCUGGCCGUAAACGAUGCGGACUUGGUGUUGGGAUGGCUUUGAGCUGUCCCAGUGCCGAAGGGAAGCUGUUAAGUCCGCCGCCUGGGAAGUACGGCCGCAAGGCUGAAACUUAAAGGAAUUGGCGGGGGAGCACCACAACGCGUGGAGCCUGCGGUUUAAUCGGAUUCAACGCCGGACAUCUCACCAGGGGCGACAGCAGGAUGAUGGCCAGGUUGAUGACCUUGCCUGACAAGCU